rnacentral:rRNA from 1 species
AAUGGGGGCAACCCUGAUCCAGCCAUGCCGCGUGAGUGAAGAAGGCCUUCGGGUUGUAAAGCUCUUUCGGCCGGGAAGAAAUCGCGCCUUCUAAUACGGGGUGUGGAUGACGGUACCGGAAGAAGAAGCACCGGCUAACUACGUGCCAGCAGCCGCGGUAAUACGUAGGGUGCGAGCGUUAAUCGGAAUUACUGGGCGUAAAGGGUGCGCAGGCGGCGCCAUAAGACAGCUGUGAAAUCCCCGGGCUUAACCUGGGAACUGCGGUUGUGACUGUGGUGCUUGAGUGCGGCAGAGGGGGGUGGAAUUCCACGUGUAGCAGUGAAAUGCGUAGAGAUGUGGAGGAACACCGAUGGCGAAGGCAGCCCCCUGGGUCGACACUGACGCUCAUGCACGAAAGCGUGGGGAGCAAA